GACGAACGCUGGCGGCGUGCUUAACACAUGCAAGUCGAACGAAGAGCGAUGGAAGCUUGCUUCUAUCAAUCUUAGUGGCGAACGGGUGAGUAACGCGUAAUCAACCUGCCCUUCAGAGGGGGACAACAGUGGGAAACGACUGCUAAUACCGCAUACGAUCUAAUCUCGGCAUCGAGGAUAGAUGAAAGGUGGCCUCUACAUGUAAGCUAUCACUGAAGGAGGGGAGUGCGUCUGAUUAGCUAGUUGGAGGGGGAACGGCCCACCAAGGCGAUGAUCAGUAGCCGGUCUGAGAGGAUGGACUGCCACAUUGGGACUGGGACACGGCCCAGACUCCUACGGGAGGCAGCAGUGGGGAAUCUUCCGCAAUGGGCGAAAGUCUGACGGAGCAACGCCGCGUGAGGGAUGACGGCCUUCGGGUUGUAAAGCUCUGUUAAUCGGGACGAAAGGCCUUCUUGCGAAUAGUGAGAAGGAUUGACGGUACCGGAAUAGAAAGCCACGGCUAACUACGUG
rnacentral:rRNA from 1 species